rnacentral:lncRNA from 1 species
CCUAAGCUUGGUCUAGAGAGAGAGAAGCUAGGUAUUUUGGUAAGAACAGGGAUUGAUGAGCAAUAGGGACAUCCAUCAAGAUUACCUAGGCUUGGUUCGAGGAGUAUAAGGGUUGUAUAACUGGUGGAUGGUUUGAUGACGGAGACUCAGGUGUACCCUCGAAUGUAGGACUACUUCAGGAUAUGUCAUUGUUGACAAA